rnacentral:tRNA from 1 species
UCCCUGGUAGUAUAUCGGUUACUAUCCGCGCCUGUCAUGGCCAAUCAACCAAAGGCCUGAGAUAACCGCACGAAAGCUGGGUUCGAUUCUCAGCCAGGGAG